AGAUACUAGUACCAGGAGGUAUCUCUAGUAUGAUAUGAUAUUAACAAAGUUAAUUAAAAUUCAGAGUAGAUAUUUGAUUAUGACAGUAUUUACUUAUGUCUUGACCAAGUCACGUGCCAGCAGUCGCGGUAAUACGUGGAAGAUUAGUGUUAUUCAUCUUUACCGGGUUUAAAGGGUACCUAGACGAUUAAUAAAACAUUCAAUUGUAAUUAUUAACUAGAGUUUAAUGUAGGAGAGAUUGAGUACGGUGAGUGUAGAGAUAAAAUUCUGUGAUACCACUUAGGGACUGGUAAAGGCGAAGGCAAUUUUCUAUGUAAAAACUGACGUUAAGGGACGAAGGCUCGUAUUAAAUAACAGGAUUAGAUACCCUAGUAUUGUGGGCAGAGAAUGAUGAGUGUCAUAUGUAAGAAAUCUAGUAAGUUAGAUAUAUUUUUUGUGUAUAAAUGAAAGUGUAAGCACUCCACCUCAAGAGUAACAUGGCAACAUGGAAACUGAAAUCAUUAGACCGUUUCUGAAACCCGUAGUGAAGUAUGUUGUUUAAUUUGAUGAUCCUCAAAUAACCUUACCACAACUUGAAUUACUCCAGUGAGUUUAUUGUAGUAAUAGUUUUAAACUAUUAUAUGCUUUCAUAAAUAACUAUAAUGCUAAGAUUGUUUUUUGGUACUUUAAUUAUUUAUUUUUAUAAUACAUUAAUAAGAUUUUCUUAAUAUACUAAGUUUUUGUUAUUAAUGUAUUAUACACUGUUAGUAACAAGCGUUGCACGGCUGUCUUCAGUCAAUGUUGUUAAACUGUGGKUAGAUUCACUGAAUUGACGUAA
rnacentral:rRNA from 1 species